rnacentral:rRNA from 1 species
UACGAAGGGGGGCUGCGUGCGUUCGGAUUCGAACUUGGACUGGAAGCAAGGCCACGUAGGCGGAUCUUUAAGUCAGGGGUGAAAUCCUGGAGCUCAACUCCAGAACUGCCUUUGAUACUGAGGACCUUGAGUUCGGGAGAGGUGAGUGGAACUGCGAGUGUAGAGGUGAAAAUUCGUAGAUAUUCGCAAGAACACCAGUGGCGAAGGCGGCUCACUGGCCCGAUACUGACGCUGAGGUGCGAAAGCGUGGGGAGCAAACAGGG